rnacentral:lncRNA from 1 species
CUCACAGCUGACAAGGCAAAUGCCCAGGCCGCAGCUCUGUAUAAGAUGAACCUGACCAAGGUGGCUGACUCCAGCCCAUUUGCCCUUGAACUGCUGAUAUCUGAUGACUGCUUUGUGCUGGACAACGGGCUCUGUGGCAAGAUCUAUAUCUGGAAGGGGCGAAAAGCGAAUGAGAAGGAGCGGCAGGCAGCCCUGCAGGUGGCCGAGGGCUUCAUCUCGCGCAUGCAGUACGCCCCGAACACUCAGGUGGAGAUUCUGCCUCAGGGCCAUGAGAGUCCCAUCUUCAAGCAAUUUUUCAAGGACUGGAAAUGAGGGUGGGCGUCUUCCUGCCCCAUGCUCCCCUGCCCCCCACCACCUGCCUGCUUGCUUCUCUGGCUGCCUGGUCAGUGCAGAGGUGCCCCCUGCAGAUGUUCAAUAAAGGAGACAAGUGCUUUCCCAGCUCUUUUCCUGCA